CCCUUAGAUGUUCUGGGCCGCACGCGCGCUACACUGAUGCAUUCAACGAGCCUAGCCUUGACCGAGAGGUCCGGGUAAUCUUUGAAACUGCAUCGUGAUGGGGCUAGAUUAUUGCAAUUAUUAAUCUUCAACGAGGAAUGCCUAGUAAGCGUGAUUCAUCAAAUCGCGUUGAUUACGUCCCUGCCCUUUGUACACACCGCCCGUCGCUCCUACCGAUUGAGUGUGUUGGUGAGGAGUUCGGAUUGGCUCUUAGUGGUGGUUCGCCACCACCUAGAGCUGAGAAGCUCUCCAAACCGCCCCACUUAGAGGAAGGAGAAGUCGUAACA
rnacentral:rRNA from 1 species